GAGCAGAAUAAGUGCUAACAACGAAAGUACCUGGGAUCUAAUGGCUAUAUCAUUCAUGGAGAUGAGGCGAACAAAGGAAUGAGGAGGAGUUUGGAAGAGUUGUACAGUCCACAGAACUUGCAAGUUGCAAUAACUAUCUAUGACAGAUAUCUUACCACUGCUGUCAUAGGCGCCGUGGACACCACUACUCUUGAAUGUAAGAUACUGUAUGAGAACGUCCUGUUGAUCAAGUAAGGUCCAGAAGUUGAAGAGGGGCCUCCAUUGUCUACUUAAACUUUAUUGUGCACCCUCUCCUGAACAAUAUGCUGGCUUUCGCUAGAGUUUGACAUUGAA